rnacentral:rRNA from 1 species
CAAGUCGAACGGGAAUCUUCGGAUUCUAGUGGCGGACGGGUGAGUAACGCGUAAGAAUCUAACUUCAGGACGGGGACAACAGUUGGAAACGACUGCUAAUACCCGAUGUGCCGCAAGGUGAAAACUAAUUGGCCUGAAGAAGAGCUUGCGUCUGAUUAGCUAGUUGGUGGGGUAAAGGCCUACCAAGGCGACGAUCAGUAGCUGGUCUGAGAGGAUGAGCAGCCACACUGGGACUGAGACACGGCCCAGACUCCUACGGGAGGCAGCAGUGGGGAAUUUUCCGCAAUGGGCGAAAGCCUGACGGAGCAACGCCGCGUGAGGGAGGAAGGUCUUUGGAUUGUAAACCUCUUUUCUCAAGGAAGAAGUUCUGACGGUACUUGAGGAAUCAGCCUCGGCUAACUCCGUGCCAGCAGCCGCGGUAAUACGGGGGAGGCAAGCGUUAUCCGGAAUUAUUGGGCGUAAAGCGUCCGCAGGUGGUCAGCCAAGUCUGCUGUCAAAUCAGGUUGCUUAACGACCUAAAGGCGGUGGAAACUGGCAGACUAGAGAGCAGUAGGGGUAGCAGGAAUUCCCAGUGUAGCGGUGAAAUGCGUAGAGAUUGGGAAGAACAUCGGUGGCGAAAGCGUGCUACUGGGCUGUAUCUGACACUCAGGGACGAAAGCUAGGGGAGCGAAAGGGAUUAGAUACCCCUGUAGUCCUAGCCGUAAACGAUGGAUACUAGGCGUGGCUUGUAUCGACCCGAGCCGUGCCGAAGCUAACGCGUUAAGUAUCCCGCCUGGGGAGUACGCACGCAAGUGUGAAACUCAAAGGAAUUGACGG